GCUGCGGCAGGCUUAACACAUGCAAGUCGAGCGGAGCGAGGGUGCUUGCACUUAGCUUAGCGGCGGACGGGUGAGUAAUGCUUAGGAAUCUGCCUAUUAGUGGGGGACAACGUUUCGAAAGGAACGCUAAUACCGCAUACGUCUACGGGAGAAAGCAGGGGAUCUUCGGACCUUGUGCUAAUAGAUGAGCCUAAGUCGGAUUAGCUAGUUGGUGGGGUAAAGGCCUACCAAGGCGACGAUCUGUAGCGGGUCUGAGAGGAUGAUCCGCCACACUGGGACUGAGACACGGCCCAGACUCCUACGGGAGGCAGCAGUGGGGAAUAUUGGACAAUGGGCGAAAGCCUGAUCCAGCCAUGCCGCGUGUGUGAAGAAGGCCUUUUGGUUGUAAAGCACUUUAAGCGAGGAGGAGGCUUCUUUGGUUAAUACCCAAAGUAAGUGGACGUUACUCGCAGAAUAAGCACCGGCUAACUCUGUGCCAGCAGCCGCGGUAAUACAGAGGGUGCAAGCGUUAAUCGGAUUUACUGGGCGUAAAGCGUGCGUAGGCGGCUAAUUAAGUCAAAUGUGAAAUCCCCGAGCUUAACUUGGGAAUUGCAUUCGAUACUGGUUAGCUAGAGUAUGGGAGAGGAUGGUAGAAUUCCAGGUGUAGCGGUGAAAUGCGUAGAGAUCUGGAGGAAUACCGAUGGCGAAGGCAGCCAUCUGGCCUAAUACUGACGCUGAGGUACGAAAGCAUGGGGAGCAAACAGGAUUAGAUACCCUGGUAGUCCAUGCCGUAAACGAUGUCUACUAGCCGUUGGGGUCUUUGAGACCUUAGUGGCGCAGCUAACGCGAUAAGUAGACCGCCUGGGGAGUACGGUCGCAAGACUAAAACUCAAAUGAAUUGACGGGGGCCCGCACAAGCGGUGGAGCAUGUGGUUUAAUUCGAUGCAACGCGAAGAACCUUACCUGGCCUUGACAUACUAAGAACUUUCCAGAGAUGGAUUGGUGCCUUCGGGAACUUAGAUACAGGUGCU
rnacentral:rRNA from 1 species